rnacentral:tRNA from 1 species
GGGUCGAAUUGCCGGACGGCAAGUCGUCGGAUGCGCUGUUCGAGGCGGCGUUGCCGCACGGUAUCCGGAUCGCGCCCGGCUCGAUCUU